AGAAUCAACGCUGGCGGCGUGCCUAACACAUGCAAGUCGAACGAGAAAGUGGGAGCAAUCCCAUGAGUAAAGUGGCGCACGGGUGAGUAACACGUGACUAACCUACCCUUGAGUGGGGGAUAACCUAGGGAAACCUGGGCUAAUACCGCAUAAUACCUACGGGUCAAAGGAGCAACUUCGCUUUAGGAGGGGGUCGCGGCAGAUUAGUUAGUUGGCGGGGUAAUGGCCCACCAAGACAGUGAUCUGUA
rnacentral:rRNA from 1 species